rnacentral:rRNA from 1 species
AGGACGAACGCUGGCGGCGUGCUUAACACAUGCAAGUCGAACGGAAAGGCCAGUGCUUGCACUGGUGCUCGAGUGGCGAACGGGUGAGUAACACGUGGGUGAUCUGCCUUGCACUCUGGGAUAAGCUUGGGAAACUGGGUCUAAUACCGGAUAUGAACUGCCUUUAGUGUGGUGGUUGGAAAGUUUUUUCGGUGCAAGAUGAGCUCGCGGCCUAUCAGCUUGUUGGUGGGGUAAUGGCCUACCAAGGCGUCGACGGGUAGCCGGCCUGAGAGGGUGUACGGCCACAUUGGGACUGAGAUACGGCCCAGACUCCUACGGGAGGCAGCAGUGGGGAAUAUUGCACAAUGGGCGGAAGCCUGAUGCAGCGACGCCGCGUGGGGGAUGACGGCCUUCGGGUUGUAAACUCCUUUCGACAGGGACGAAGCGUAAGUGACGGUACCUGUAUAAGAAGCACCGGCUAACUACGUGCCAGCAGCCGCGGUAAUACGUAGGGUGCGAGCGUUGUCCGGAAUUACUGGGCGUAAAGAGCUCGUAGGUGGUUUGUCGCGUCGUCUGUGAAAUUCCGGGGCUUAACUUCGGGCGUGCAGGCGAUACGGGCAUAACUUGAGUGCUGUAGGGGAGACUGGAAUUCCUGGUGUAGCGGUGAAAUGCGCAGAUAUCAGGAGGAACACCGAUGGCGAAGGCAGGUCUCUGGGCAGUUACUGACGCUGAGGAGCGAAAGCAUGGGUAGCAAACAGGAUUAGAUACCCUGGUAGUCCAUGCCGUAAACGGUGGGCGCUAGGUGUAGGGGGCUUCCACGUCUUCUGUGCCGUAGCUAACGCAUUAAGC